rnacentral:rRNA from 1 species
GAUGAACGCUGGCGGCGUGCCUAAUACAUGCAAGUCGAGCGAAUGGAUUAAGAGCUUGCUCUUAUGAAGUUAGCGGCGGACGGGUGAGUAACACGUGGGUAACCUGCCCAUAAGACUGGGAUAACUCCGGGAAACCGGGGCUAAUACCGGAUAACAUUUUGAAUCGCAUGGUUCGAAAUUGAAAGACGGCUUCGGCUGUCAAUUAUGGAUGGACCCGCGUAGCAUUAGCUAGUUGGUGAGGUAACGGCUCACCAAGGCAGCGAUGCGUAGUCGACCUGAGAGGGUGAUCGGCCACACUGGGACUGAGACACGGCCCAGACUCCUACGGGAGGCAGCAGUAGGGAAUCUUCCGCAAUGGACGAAAGUCUGACGGAGCAACGCCGCGUGAGUGAUGAAGGCUUUCGGGCCGUAAAACUCUGUUGUUAGGGAAGAACAAGUGCUAGUUGAAUAAGCUGGCACCUUGACGGUACCUAACCAGAAAGCCACGGCUAACUACGUGCCAGCAGCCGCAGUAA